AGUGAACGCUGGCGGUAGGCCUAACACAUGCAAGUCGAACGGCAGCACAGUAAGAGCUUGCUCUUACGGGUGGCGAGUGGCGGACGGGUGAGGAAUACAUCGGAAUCUACUUUUUCGUGGGGGAUAACGUAGGGAAACUUACGCUAAUACCGCAUACGACCUACGGGUGAAAGCAGGGGAUCUUCGGACCUUGCGCGAUUGAAUGAGCCGAUGUCGGAUUAGCUAGUUGGCGGGGUAAAGGCCCACCAAGGCGACGAUCCGUAGCUGGUCUGAGAGGAUGAUCAGCCACGCUGGAACGAAGACACGGUCCAGACUCCUACGGGAGGCAGGAGUGGGGAGUAAUGGAGAAUGGGCGCAAGCCUGAUCCAGCCAUGCCGCGUGGGAAGAAGGCCUUCGGGUUGUAAAGCCCUUUUGUUGGGAAAGAAAAGCAGCAGGUUAAGACCCCGCUGUUCUGACGGUACCCGGAGAAUAAGCACCGGCUAACUUCGUG
rnacentral:rRNA from 1 species